rnacentral:lncRNA from 1 species
GAUCAAUUAGCCACCACCAAAGAUCUGUAGAUCAAAACUUUGAUCUACCAUUCUAACCCUACUUGGUAAUCAUGUACAACAUGAUGAUGGCAGUUAUGUUCUGCUACCUGGCCUCUGCCACCUCAAGAUCCUUCACCAUUCUUAAAUUAUUUCUAAUUUAAUUUUUUCUAAUUUAAUUUCAAUGCUAGCAUAUGAAACCUUUAUGCCCAAGGGACAGCCAUUACAGUAAUGUUUAGGGAUUCAUGUAUCAUCCUUACCAAUCUGUUUCUUAAUGCUAUGAUAUGAAGAGAAUGUGCUCUAGGCCAUUUUGGGUAUACAGGAGUAGAUGAUCUUUAAAAAAAAACCAAAAAACAAAACACUUCAAUGUUGCUUUCUUCUGAAAACAUUGGAAUUUGUUUUCAACAUUAUACCAAGAAAUUCUGGCAACUAACUCAGUUUUAGUCACCAAUUGAGUCUAGUUUUUAAUUAAUCAACUGAACACAUCUAGAACACUCCUAGCUACCCAAACUAGUAACUAGUAUGACUCCAAAAUUUCUAGUAAGUGUUCUCAUAUCAACCAAUUCAUCACAAUCUAAAAUUAUGUUCUUUCUGUGAUCUUGCACCCUUGGAGUCUCUUCCUAUGCAUAUCCCUAGCAUUUGGCUUCUGUAAUUUAACAAAUCUUGUCAUUUGGGGGGGCAAGUAAACCUUCUCUUCCCAGAUUUAUUAUGUAAUUCCCUAGAGCAUCCUGUGGUCUGACUCAAUUUAUAUAUAGGCAGUCAUUGAAAAGUAGGGUAGAGGAGGAAAUUUGGUGUCCCUGUGCAAGGUGGGGCCUGUAUUUAUCUACUAUUGUGCAGCAAAUUACCCAGAAGUUAGCAAUGGAAGAUUAUAAGCAUUAUCUCAGUUUCUUUAGAUCUGGAAUCUGGAAUUCUAUAGCUGGGCAGUUCUGGCAUAAGUUCACUCAUGAGGUUGAUGUUAAGAAAUCAGCUGGGGACACAAGUCAGCAGAAGGCUGUAGGAUCUAUUUCCAAGAUUUCUCACUCACAUAUCUAGCAAAUUAGUGCUGAUUAUUAGCUGAGGGCCUCAGUUCCUUAUCAUGUGGAUUUCUCUGUAGUAAACACUACGUGACAUGACAUCAUCUGACUUUUCCCAGAUUGAAGAGAGUACGAGACAAAAAUUGCAAUAUCUCUUACAACCUAGCUUCAUGAGUCACACACCAUCAUUUUUGCAAUAUCUAUAGGUUACACAGGUCUACCCUAUUCAAUAUAGGAGGGGACUAUACACAGACAUUUAUUACUAGGAGUUGGAGAUUACUGAGGCCUUCUUGGAGACUAGUUUUAUAAGAUCACAGUAGAGUUUUCAAGAAAAGUGAAAAGACAAUCUUAUCAGGGGACAAAGGAGACUACUUCUGUAAGUAAGGGACAAAGGAUUUGAGGAACAUAGGAUGCCAUAUUUGGAGUCUUCUCUUUUCUAGUCAAUGCCCUAACUUCCACAUUGGAGAUUAAGUAAAACUGUUAAUUCUACCUUGGUCAUAAUUCAUCAUUCUUCUAAGUCAAAUUUUGCUUCAAGUUUUUGGUGUGUUAGACCUGUAGCUAUAGAGACAAGGAAUUUUUUUAGGAAAAUCUGAAUAAAACCCUGGUUUUCUGAACAUGCCCUGAACUAAGAAUUUGAAAUCUGGAGUCUACAAUUUUCUUUAAGCUUUUUUUUAGCACAAUUAAUACAGUUAGAAGCAAUCAGCAAAACCCUUGUGCCUUCCACAAUGACCUAUCACUGCAACAAGUUGAUCAACCAAAGAAUUGCCUUUAAUAGAUACUUCAUUCCAGAUAACCAAAGGUAAUAAUUUUUAGAGCAAAAAGAGAGUAUGUUUUUAUACAUAACUGAAAUUUUUCUGAAUUGAUCUAGAUCCAGGGACUCAAAUUAUGUUAGUAAGAAUCUCUACUCUUGACUAUAUCAUUCUCUGUUGUGUUUAUUUCCAGGAAGACUCCUUCCAUGUGAUAGCAGAGAUGGUCUCUGUCUUACAUUUUACUAGCUUGGCAGUUCAUAGAUGAUAAUUUUUUUUAAUUUUUUUUUAGUUGUAGAUGGACACAAUACCUUUAUUUAUUUAUUUUUAUGUGGUGCUGAGGAUCAAACCCAGUGCCUCACACAUUCUAGGCAAGCAUUCUACCACUGAGCUACAACUCCAGCCCCACAACUGUUUCUCCACUGUGUAUCAUUAACCACUUGCUUCUUCUAAUAGUAAUCAAAUUCUCACUUUCAUAUACAAUUAGUUCAGAAAACUGAUCCCACAUUUAUAUUUCCUAGAAAUUUGAUUGCUUAUAACUUUUCUUAUUAUUGCAUCAAUCAGAGUUCAGCUGCAUAGCAGAUAAUCCAGUUUAGGCAAAAAGGAAUUUAAGGAAAAAAGCUAAAUGCUUACCACUGAAAAGACAAAAGGAGCAAGCUCUUAGACCUACUCCUCAGAACAACCCCUAGUGUUCACAACCACUCUAUUUCUACCGUGAUUAGAAAAACUCAAUACAAUUGUUGCAGAAACCUGCUGCCAUUUUUGCUCACCACACAACCACAUUACCUCUGCUACUGAUGCUAUAGGAAACUGCCAACUCCAGACACAACACACAUCACCUCUGACAAAUCCACGCGUGCAUCUUUCCUCUCUUGUGUUAGUUCUGAAUUCAUUUCUUACAAGAUACAUUGAACUGAACCCUGGAAUCCUAAUGGAAAGGAAGUCUAGGAAGUGUCACUUGUUACCUUUCCAACUUUUGCAAAUUGGAAAGGGGUUGGGCUUCCAUAAUAUUCUCAUAACAUUAAUCCACA